rnacentral:rRNA from 1 species
UACAGAGGGUGCUAGCGUUGUUCGGAAUCAUUGGGCGUAAAGGGCGUGUAGGCGGUUUGUUAAGUCAUGUGUGAAAUCCCUCGGCUCAACCGAGGAAAGACGCAUGAAACUGGCAGCUAGAGUACCGAAGAGGGGGGUGGAAUUCCCGGUGUAGCGGUGAAAUGCGUAGAUAGUCGGGAGGAACACCUGUGGCGAAGGCCGGGCCCCCUGGUCGGAUACUGACGCUGAGACGCGAAAGCGUGGGGAGCAAACAGG